UGCCCGGGCUCCGGGCAGACCCCGCGUGUCCCCCAGGGCUGGUCCCGGCGCCCAGGAGCCCGUGGGCACAGCGGAGGAUGCUGAAGCAGCCGCAGGCGGGGAUGAGGAAGCCAGGCCAGCACAGGGAGACUCGUCUGCCCCGGGCACGGCAGCAGCUGCCGAGGCAGCAGCAGCAGCAGCAGCAGCAGCAGAGGGGGAGCCGUCUGUCCCCAGCACGGCCGCAGAGCCGCUCUCGGCAGCACCAGGCACCACCGAGGAGCCACCAGUUAAUGUCACCAUCACCGUGACGGCGACACCGUGACCGCUCCGGCUUUUGCUCUUUAUUUCCCUUCCCUCCUCUCUUCCACACCACGGGACGGCAGCAGCCACCUGUGCCGUGCUGGGCUGGGAGGCAGCCGGCUCCAAAUGCAGCACCCGGUGAAAGCCCCUCCAGCUCAGGCUCAGGCCUGCAGUUACUGCUGGAGCUAAAAUAAAUAUUUAGGCUACAAUAAAUAGUUUCUCACCGAUGGCAGAAAAAAAGCCUGAGGGCUGAAGCGCCGCUCUCAGCCCCAGGCAUCGACAGGGGAUGCUGCUUUGGGGCUGUGCUGAGCUUUCUGUGGUGCAAAAACAGCCACAAAGCUUUUUGUGGGAAGGGGCCUCAUCUUCGCUCCAAGAUCCCCAGUUUCAGGCAAAACUGCAGGAGGUUAAAAAUAGUGAUUUGAGAUGGUUUUUCCCUGCACUGGCGCAAGCAUGAAGGGAAGCAGGCUCCAAGUAAAGUGUCAGGCAGUUACCAGCUUCCCUGAGUCCUCAUCUUCUGGUGUGUGUGGAAACAAGGGCACCUUGGGCCAUUUUCAACUGUAUUUGGUUAAUCAUAACCCAUUGGGAAGUAUCAAGUCACAUGAACCAACCUCAGUCAGUGUGCACAGACUAUCAAUCCCCACACCAGCCACAAAUCAGCAUUGAUCCCUUUAUCAAACCACUGCCAGAAAUACAAACCCUGCCCAAAGCCCCUGCAAAACCAUCACUUCCAAACACACAACAUUCCAAAGGGAUAUUACAGUUUCUCUGGAAAACAGAGCAUCUUUAUCUGACACACCCACAAUACAGGGGAGAUUUAAGCAAGGUUGUUUAAAACCAUGGUUAAAUUUCAGUGUUUGGGGAAAACGAAGCAGACAGAGUUAAAUCCCAGCCACUUGUCUGCCAAUCUCUGUUGGAAAAGGGGAAAGCCUUGCAGCAGGUCCUGCAAAAGGAAAAUCCAUGAGGAUGAGAUAAACAAAACAGGAUGUGGGAGAUCUGUGGUGUCUCUGGGGUACGUGGCAGCCAAAGCCCACGGGUGUGAAGUCCAUGGUGUGUAGAGAACUUUGGAAUAAGGCAGCUCUAGCUGGGAGGAUGCACAACCC